AUUGAACGCUGGCGGCAUGCCCUACACAUGCAAGUCGAACGGUAACAGGUCUUCGGAUGCUGACGAGUGGCGAACGGGUGAGUAAUACAUCGGAACGUGCCCGACCGUGGGGGAUAACGAGGCGAAAGCUUUGCUAAUACCGCAUACGAUCUACGGAUGAAAGCGGGGGAUCUUCGGACCUCGCGCGGACGGAGCGGCCGAUGGCAGAUUAGGUAGUUGGUGGGAUAAAAGCUUACCAAGCCGACGAUCUGUAGCUGGUCUGAGAGGAUGAUCAGCCACACUGGGACUGAGACACGGCCCAGACUCCUACGGGAGGCAGCAGUGGGGAAUUUUGGACAAUGGGCGAAAGCCUGAUCCAGCCAUGCCGCGUGCAGGAUGAAGGCCUUCGGGUUGUAAACUGCUUUUGUACGGAACGAAAAGCCUCUUUCUAAUAAAGAGGGGUCAUGACGGUACCGUAAGAAUAAGCACCGGCUAACUACGUG
rnacentral:rRNA from 1 species